rnacentral:rRNA from 1 species
AGGUCAAGCUACUAAGAGCGCACGGUGGAUGCCUUGGCACCACGGGCCGAUGAAGGACGUAGCGUUGCUGCGAUAAGCCUCGGGAAGCUGCUAGCAAGCGUUGAUCCGGGGAUUUCCGAAUGGGGCAACCCGCCUGGGGUAAUGCCCGGGCACUUCCGGCUGAACACAUAGGCCGGGUAGAGGGCACGCGGGGAACUGAAACAUCUUAGUACCCGCAGGAAGAGACGUUAUCCCCUGAGUAGUGGCGAGCGAAAAGGGGCCAGCCUAAACCGCGCCGGCGUGAUAGCCGGCAGGCGUUUCCGGCGCGGGGUCGUGGGACCUCCCUGCUUCUUCUGCCGGAGAAGCGAGGAGUUAAAAAGUCGUCAUCUAGCCGAACAGUUCUGGAAAGGCUGACCAUAGAAGGUGACAGUCCUGUAGGCGGCAGGUGUGCGACCUCCUGGGAGUGUUCCCAAGUACCACGGAACACGUGGAAUUCUGUGGGAAUCUGGGCGGACCAUCGUCCAAGGCUAAAUACCCGUGGUGACCGAUAGCGAACGAGUACCGUGAGGGAAAGGUGAAAAGCACCCCGGAAGGGGAGUUAAAAGUACCUGAAACCGUGUGCUUACAAACCGUGAGAGGGCUAUGCCCGCAAGGGAAUGCCUGAUUGCGUGCCUUUUGUAGAAUGAGCCGGCGAGUUACUUCUGUGUGGCGAGGUUAAGGGGGCGACACCCGGAGCCGAAGCGAAAGCGAGUCUGAACAGGGCGUGGCCCUCCCUUCUGGGAGGGUGGUAGUCGCACAGAGUAGACCCGAAACCGAGUGACCUAUCCAUGGUCAGGGUGAAGCGCGGGUAAAACCGCGUGGAGGCCCGAACCGACCCCGGUUGAAAACGCGGCGGAUGAACUGUGGAUAGCGGUGAAAUGCCAAUCGAACUCGGAGAUAGCUGGUUCUCCUCGAAAUGCAUUUAGGUGCAGCGUCGUCGUUGGGUCUGUUGCUGGUAGAGCACUGAAUGGGCUAGGGGCGAUCACCUCGUUACCAAACCCAACCAAACUCCGAAUGGCAGCAGAUCAUCCGGCGGCAGUGAGACUGUGGGGGCUAAGCUCCAUGGUCGAAAGGGAAACAGCCCAGACCACCGGCUAAGGUCCCUAAUCACGCGCUAAGUGGGAAAGGAGGUCACGGUGUCCAGACAACCAGGAUGUUGGCUUAGAAGCAGCCACCAUUUAAAGAGUGCGUAAUAGCUCACUGGUCGAAUGUCGUGGCGCCGACAAUGAUCGGGGCUCAAGCGCGUAACCGAAGCCGUGGAUGGCCCCUUAGGGGGUCGUGGUAGAGGAGCGUUCCGCGGGCGGAGAAGCAUGACCGUGAGGACAUGUGGAGCGCGUGGAAGUGCGAAUGCCGGCACAAGUAGCGAGAAACGCGUGAGAAACGUGUUCGCCGUAAGUCUAAGGUUUCCUGGGCAACGCUACUCGUCCCAGGGUCAGUCGGACCUAAGCCGAGGCCGAAAGGCGUAGGCGAUGGACAGCUGGUCAACAUUCCAGCACCACCGACCGUUCGUUAUCAGCAAUGGGGUGACGGGGAAGGAUGGGCCUUACGGGGCGCCGGUUGUCCCCGACGCAAACAGGUAGGGGGUCAGGUAGGCAAAUCCGCCUGGCGUAACCCCGAGAGAAUGCCAAGGUACCUAGUGCCGAUGGGGCCGAUUCCAUGCCUCCAAGAAAAACCUCUAGCGAGAACGGCGGUGCCCGUACCGCAAACCGACACAGGUAGACGGGAAGAGGAUUCCAAGGCGAUCGAGAGAAGCGUGGCUAAGGAACUCGGCAAAAUGUCCCCGUAACUUCGGGAGAAGGGGAGCCCUUGUCGGUGACCCGGUUCGCCCGGUGAGCUGGUGAGGGCCGCAGAGAAAAGGCCCAACCGACUGUUUACUAAAAACACAGGUCUCUGCCAAAGCGAAAGCUGACGUAUAGGGGCUGACGCCUGCCCGGUGCCGGAAGGUUAAGAGGAGGGGUGCAAGCCCUGAAUUGAAGCCCCGGUAAACGGCGGCCGUAACUAUAACGGUCCUAAGGUGGAAUCGCUGCCUUAGCAAAAUCUGGCUGUAUGCUGGAACAUCCGAGAAUCCCUCACUACUGUGUCUGAAGAGUUGAUACGGUGACAAUGUGAAGGGUGCGGACAAUCAGCAGGAAAGGCUGAUCGCACUGGCGAUCAGAAUCCUCAGAGGCCAUACGCCAGACGCCUGAGCUUUCAGGCGAAGAGAUGGUCCCAUCUGCAUGGCGACAUGCAGGGAGGCGGUUCGCAUACGCCUCCGCUCGGCUGAUGCCGGGUAAGAGUUGAGCGAAAUUCCUUGUCGGGUAAGUUCCGACCCGCACGAAUGGCGUAACGAGUUGGGCGCUGUCUCGGCCACGUACUCGGCGAAACUGAAGUACCUGUGAAGAUGCAGGUUACCCGCGGCAGGACGGAAAGACCCCGUGGAGCUUUACUACAACUUGCCACUGAAUUGGGGUCCAGCAUGUAGAGGAUAGCUGGGAGACUGUGAAGCGUGGCCGCCAGGUUGCGUGGAGUCAACGGUGGAAUACCAGCCUUGCUGGAUUUUAGUUCUAACUGACACCGUGAUCCGGUGUUGGGACCGUGGCAGGCGGGUAGUUUGACUGGGGCGGUCGCCUCCUAAACGGUAACGGAGGCGCCCAAAGGUUCCCUCGGCCUGGAUGGAAAUCAGGCUUAUAGAGUGCAAUGGCAUAAGGGAGCUUGACUGUGAGGCCAACAAGCCGAACAGGGACGAAAGUCGGGCAUAGUGAUCCGACGGCUCUGUAUGGAAAGGCCGUCGCUCAACGGAUAAAAGCUACCCCGGGGAUAACAGGCUUAUCUUGCCCAAGAGUUCACAUCGACGGCAAGGUUUGGCACCUCGAUGUCGGCUCGUCGCAUCCUGGGGCUGGAGUAGGUCCCAAGGGUUGGGCUGUUCGCCCAUUAAAGCGGUACGCGAGCUGGGUU